GUUUGAACAGGCAAUGAUUAUUUAAUACAUUAAGGCACAUGUCACUAAAGGUCCGAAACACAUUAAAACUAGUAACUAGUAAGAUGCUGUAAAUAUUUAAUACCAUUCCUUACAAAUAACUAACCUUACAUGAGAGCCGGAAAUUCUUUCAAAUGACCCAUAAACCCGACGUACAGCUACAAGGCGAGCAAUCAUCCUUGUGGGCGAGCUCAAAUCAGCAGUCGAGGUGGGGCCCAGAAUCUAUGUCAUGUGGGAUCUAGUGUACGCAAGCUUGUCUCGGUGUAGCCCCACGACAGGACCCAUGGACCCACCUC
rnacentral:lncRNA from 1 species